rnacentral:rRNA from 1 species
GGGUUGUGAGGUUAAGCGACUAAGCGUACACGGUGGAUGCCCUGGCAGUCAGAGGCGAUGAAGGACGUGCUAAUCUGCGAUAAGCGUCGGUAAGGUGAUAUGAACCGUUAUAACCGGCGAUUUCCGAAUGGGGAAACCCAGUGUGAUUCGUCACACUAUCAUUAACUGAAUCCAUAGGUUAAUGAGGCGAACCGGGGGAACUGAAACAUCUAAGUACCCCGAGGAAAAGAAAUCAACCGAGAUUCCCCCAGUAGCGGCGAGCGAACGGGGAGCAGCCCAGAGCCUGAAUCAGUGUGUGUGUUAGUGGAAGCGUCUGGAAAGGCGCGCGAUACAGGGUGACAGCCCCGUACACAAAAAUGCACAUACUGUGAGCUCGAUGAGUAGGGCGGGACACGUGGUAUCCUGUCUGAAUAUGGGGGGACCAUCCUCCAAGGCUAAAUACUCCUGACUGACCGAUAGUGAACCAGUACCGUGAGGGAAAGGCGAAAAGAACCCCGGCGAGGGGAGUGAAAAAGAACCUGAAACCGUGUACGUACAAGCAGUGGGAGCACAGAGCAAUCUGUGUGACUGCGUACCUUUUGUAUAAUGGGUCAGCGACUUAUAUUCUGUAGCAAGGUUAACCGAAUAGGGGAGCCGAAGGGAAACCGAGUCUUAACUGGGCGUUAAGUUGCAGGGUAUAGACCCGAAACCCGGUGAUCUAGCCAUGGGCAGGUUGAAGGUUGGGUAACACUAACUGGAGGACCGAACCGACUAAUGUUGAAAAAUUAGCGGAUGACUUGUGGCUGGGGGUGAAAGGCCAAUCAAACCGGGAGAUAGCUGGUUCUCCCCGAAAGCUAUUUAGGUAGCGCCUCGUGAAUUCAUCUCCGGGGGUAGAGCACUGUUUCGGCAAGGGGGUCAUCCCGACUUACCAACCCGAUGCAAACUGCGAAUACCGGAGAAUGUUAUCACGGGAGACACACGGCGGGUGCUAACGUCCGUCGUGAAGAGGGAAACAACCCAGACCGCCAGCUAAGGUCCCAAAGUCAUGGUUAAGUGGGAAACGAUGUGGGAAGGCCCAGACAGCCAGGAUGUUGGCUUAGAAGCAGCCAUCAUUUAAAGAAAGCGUAAUAGCUCACUGGUCGAGUCGGCCUGCGCGGAAGAUGUAACGGGGCUAAACCAUGCACCGAAGCUGCGGCAGCGACGCUGAUGCGUUGUUGGGUAGGGGAGCGUUCUGUAAGCCUGUGAAGGUGUGCUGUGAGGCAUGCUGGAGGUAUCAGAAGUGCGAAUGCUGACAUAAGUAACGAUAAAGCGGGUGAAAAGCCCGCUCGCCGGAAGACCAAGGGUUCCUGUCCAACGUUAAUCGGGGCAGGGUGAGUCGACCCCUAAGGCGAGGCCGAAAGGCGUAGUCGAUGGGAAACAGGUUAAUAUUCCUGUACUUGGUGUUACUGCGAAGGGGGGACGGAGAAGGCUAUGUUGGCCGGGCGACGGUUGUCCCGGUUUAAGCGUGUAGGCUGGUUUUCCAGGCAAAUCCGGAAAAUCAAGGCUGAGGCGUGAUGACGAGGCACUACGGUGCUGAAGCAACAAAUGCCCUGCUUCCAGGAAAAGCCUCUAAGCAUCAGGUAACAUCAAAUCGUACCCCAAACCGACACAGGUGGUCAGGUAGAGAAUACCAAGGCGCUUGAGAGAACUCGGGUGAAGGAACUAGGCAAAAUGGUGCCGUAACUUCGGGAGAAGGCACGCUGAUAUGUAGGUGAAGUCCCUCGCGGAUGGAGCUGAAAUCAGUCGAAGAUACCAGCUGGCUGCAACUGUUUAUUAAAAACACAGCACUGUGCAAACACGAAAGUGGACGUAUACGGUGUGACGCCUGCCCGGUGCCGGAAGGUUAAUUGAUGGGGUUAGCGCAAGCGAAGCUCUUGAUCGAAGCCCCGGUAAACGGCGGCCGUAACUAUAACGGUCCUAAGGUAGCGAAAUUCCUUGUCGGGUAAGUUCCGACCUGCACGAAUGGCGUAAUGAUGGCCAGGCUGUCUCCACCCGAGACUCAGUGAAAUUGAACUCGCUGUGAAGAUGCAGUGUACCCGCGGCAAGACGGAAAGACCCCGUGAACCUUUACUAUAGCUUGACACUGAACAUUGAGCCUUGAUGUGUAGGAUAGGUGGGAGGCUUUGAAGUGUGGACGCCAGUCUGCAUGGAGCCGACCUUGAAAUACCACCCUUUAAUGUUUGAUGUUCUAACGUUGACCCGUAAUCCGGGUUGCGGACAGUGUCUGGUGGGUAGUUUGACUGGGGCGGUCUCCUCCUAAAGAGUAACGGAGGAGCACGAAGGUUGGCUAAUCCUGGUCGGACAUCAGGAGGUUAGUGCAAUGGCAUAAGCCAGCUUGACUGCGAGCGUGACGGCGCGAGCAGGUGCGAAAGCAGGUCAUAGUGAUCCGGUGGUUCUGAAUGGAAGGGCCAUCGCUCAACGGAUAAAAGGUACUCCGGGGAUAACAGGCUGAUACCGCCCAAGAGUUCAUAUCGACGGCGGUGUUUGGCACCUCGAUGUCGGCUCAUCACAUCCUGGGGCUGAAGUAGGUCCCAAGGGUAUGGCUGUUCGCCAUUUAAAGUGGUACGCGAGCUGGGUUUAGAACGUCGUGAGACAGUUCGGUCCCUAUCUGCCGUGGGCGCUGGAGAACUGAGGGGGGCUGCUCCUAGUACGAGAGGACCGGAGUGGACGCAUCACUGGUGUUCGGGUUGUCAUGCCAAUGGCACUGCCCGGUAGCUAAAUGCGGAAGAGAUAAGUGCUGAAAGCAUCUAAGCACGAAACUUGCCCCGAGAUGAGUUCUCCCUGACCCUUUAAGGGUCCUGAAGGAACGUUGAAGACGACGACGUUGAUAGGCCGGGUGUGUAAGCGCAGCGAUGCGUUGAGCUAACCGGUACUAAUGAACCGUGAGGCUUAACCUUACAACGCCGAAGGUGUUU